GGUCUUAUAUUCAUUUAAUGAUAAUAGAAUGCAAUUCUAUAGGAGUAGAAUACCUACUAAGGCUU
rnacentral:tRNA from 1 species